UUGCCAAAUAUUUUUUUAAGCUAUGGCAAAAUAUAUAGCUAAACACUAGUUCUCAAAUAUAAGUGCCGUGCGUAGCAUUUGGAUCAAUGUUGUUUUAAUAGUCUGUGGCUGCGUUAGAAGAUGAUAUAUUCUAUAUAUAUCCUUAGUUUGGGUGAGGAAUGGAUUCAUUGAUCAUCUUUUUGUGUAGUUGAAGUUUUUCUUUUGAGAUUUGUUCAGAGACUGCUUUGAUGAACUUCUUGUUCUUUUCUUUUGUUUGUGAAGUAGAUGCUAUACCCUGAAGGUGGUCAACUUCAUAUAAAUGAAGUUUCCUGGUUUUGCUUUCUACAGGUUCCAGCUCAAGUUUGGGAAAUGUUCUACAAAGUUUUGCGUUCGAGAUGGAUGAUGCCAAUGUCCACUACAAAAGUUUUGAAAAGCCGGAAGAGAAAAGAUUUGCCUAAAGCAAUGAAGAGCAUGUGGAACAUCAGUCCAGUGUGUAUUUGGUGGUGUAGUACGGAGAGAAAGAAAUAUAAGAAUCCUCAUUGACCAUGUUCGAGUGGGCUAUAUGAAUAUGUUACUUCAUUUGACUCAUCUCGGAACCACUAUUAUACAAACUAAUAAUAGUAAGAAGAAUAAUAAGAAUAAUAAUAACAAAAAUAAAAAGUAUGUUCUUUAUA